rnacentral:rRNA from 1 species
GACGAACGCUGGCGGCGUGCUUAACACAUGCAAGUCGAACGGAAAGGCCCUGCUUUUGUGGGGUGCUCGAGUGGCGAACGGGUGAGUAACACGUGAGUAACCUGCCCUUGACUUUGGGACAACUUCAGGAAACUGGGGCUAAUACCGGAUAGGAGCUCCUGCUGCAUGGUGGGGGUUGGAAAGUUUCGGCGGUUGGGGAUGGACUCGCGGCUUAUCAGCUUGUUGGUGGGGUAGUGGCUUACCAAGGCUUUGACGGGUAGCCGGCCUGAGAGGGUGACCGGCCACAUUGGGACUGAGAUACGGCCCAGACUCCUACGGGAGGCAGCAGUGGGGAAUAUUGCACAAUGGGCGGAAGCCUGAUGCAGCAACGCCGCGUGCGGGAUGACGGCCUUCGGGUUGUAAACCGCUUUCGCCUGUGACGAAGCGUGAGUGACGGUAAUGGGUAAAGAAGCACCGGCUAACUACGUGCCAGCAGCCGCGGUGAUACGUAGGGUGCGAGCGUUGUCCGGAUUUAUUGGGCGUAAAGGGCUCGUAGGUGGUUGAUCGCGUCGGAAGUGUAAUCUUGGGGCUUAACCCUGAGCGUGCUUUCGAUACGGGUUGACUUGAGGAAGGUAGGGGAGAAUGGAAUUCCUGGUGGAGCGGUGGAAUGCGCAGAUAUCAGGAGGAACACCAGUGGCGAAGGCGGUUCUCUGGGCCUUUCCUGACGCUGAGGAGCGAAAGCGUGGGGAGCGAACAGGCUUAGAUACCCUGGUAGUCCACGCUGUAAACGGUGGGUACUAGGUGUGGGGUCCAUUCCACGGGUUCCGUGCCGUAGCUAACGCUUUAAGUACCCCGCCUGGGGAGUACGGCCGCAAGGCUAAAACUCAAAGGAAUUGACGGGGCCCCGCACAAGCGGCGGAGCAUGCGGAUUAAUUCGAUGCAACGCGUAGAACCUUACCUGGGUUUGACAUGGAUCGGGAGCGCUCAGAGAUGGGUGUGCCUCUUUUGGGGUCGGUUCACAGGUGGUGCAUGGCUGUCGUCAGCUCGUGUCGUGAGAUGUUGGGUUAAGUCCCGCAACGAGCGCAACCCUUGUUCACUGUUGCCAGCACGUUAUGGUGGGGACUCAGUGGAGACCGCCGGGGUCAACUCGGAGGAAGGUGGGGAUGACGUCAAGUCAUCAUGCCCCUUAUGUCCAGGGCUUCACGCAUGCUACAAUGGCUGGUACAGAGAGUGGCGAGCCUGUGAGGGUGAGCGAAUCUCGGAAAGCCGGUCUCAGUUCGGAUUGGGGUCUGCAACUCGACCUCAUGAAGUCGGAGUCGCUAGUAAUCGCAGAUCAGCAACGCUGCGGUGAAUACGUUCCCGGGGCU